UACGGAGGGGGCUAGCGUUGUUCGGAAUUACUGGGCGUAAAGCGCGCGUAGGCGGCUUUGUAAGUCAGAGGUGAAAUCUCGGGGCUCAACUCCGGAACUGCCUUUGAAACUGCAUCGCUUGAAUCCGGGAGAGGUGAGUGGAAUUCCGAGUGUAGAGGUGAAAUUCGUAGAUAUUCGGAAGAACACCAGUGGCGAAGGCGGCUCACUGGACCGGCAUUGACGCUGAGGUGCGAAAGCGUGGGGAGCAAACAGG
rnacentral:rRNA from 1 species